rnacentral:rRNA from 1 species
AACGAACGCUGGCGGCAUGCCUAACACAUGCAAGUCGAACGGGAUCCUAGCUUGCUAGGUGAGAGUGGCGGACGGGUGAGUAACACGUGGGAAUCUGCCUUUUGGUUCGGGAUAACCGCGGGAAACUGCGGCUAAUACCGAAUGCCCUCGAGAGAGGAAAGAUUUAUCGCCAGAAGAGGAGCCCGCGUCCGAUUAGGUAGUUGGUGGGGUAAAGGCCUACCAAGCCGACGAUCGGUAGCUGGUCUGAGAGGAUGAUCAGCCACACUGGGGCUGAGAUACGGCCCAGACUCCUACGGGAGGCAGCAGUGGGAAUAUUGGACAAUGGGGCAACCCUGAUCCAGCAAUGCCGCGUGAGUGAUGAGGGCCUUAGGGUUGUAAAGCUCUUUUGCCAGGGAAGAUGAUGACUGUACCUGGAGAAUAAGCCCCGGCUAACUUCGUGCCAGCAGCCGCGGU